rnacentral:rRNA from 1 species
UACGAAGGGGGCUAGGCGUUGUUCGGAAUCACUGGGCGUAAAGCGCACGUAGGCGGAUUGUUAAGUCGGGGGUGAAAUCCUGAGGCUCAACCUCAGAACUGCCUCCGAUACUGGCAAUCUCGAGUUCGGAAGAGGUUGGUGGAACAGCCUGAGUGAGAGGUGAAAUUCGUAGAUAUUCGCAAGAACACCAGUGGCGAAGGCGGCUCACUGGCCCGGUACUGACGCUGAGGUGCGAAAGCGUGGGGAGCAAACAGGG